AUGAAAAACCAUUGUUUUCAUUGCCAUAAAAGAAGGAUCAACAAAAGAAGGAGGAGCCCGUGGUUUGAUUUCGCUGCCCUGCAUGGAACCUCAAACUACUCAAAAUCCCAAGACCCCAGCCUCCCCGUGCAAAGCAGGGGAGCUGAGGACGCUGCCUUCCUGGGAUGCACACACUCCAUUCAGCAGACAGCUCCCUUCCCUUUGGCUGGCAGCUUCCCGUCUCACCAUAGGGCCCCGAGAAUCUGCUGCAAAGUUUCAAGAGCUGUAAUUUUACAUGUAACUAUUUCAUUCAAGACAUUAAUGACCCGGAUCACUGCAAAUAACCAUGGCAACAGCUUAUCAGCUCCAGUGAUGUCUUAGGGCUGUGGACACACUUCAUGCAGGACUUGUUACCCUUUAUAAACCGAAGUUCACUGUGUAUCCAUCCUGCCGUCACCUGAAUGAAUCAUCCCUCUGCAGCAGGCUUACUCAAUGGAGAUGGCUCUGAAAUAAAAUAUAUGGAGAAAAAUAUUAAUUUUAUUUAGCAUGUUUUUAGCACUUAAGUCUGGCAUAAACUACAAAAAAAUACUGUAAUUUUCUCCUCCCCCUACUCUUCCUUCCUUGCCUCCCCUGUCUAUUCCCUUUAUUUUGGUGCUGGAAAUGAAACCUAGGACUCCCUCAGGCUAAGCAUAUACUCCCUCCCCAAUAUACUUAGGUCCCGAUAUACUUAGGUUUGCUCCUUCCCUGGUCUGUGGAUUAGGUGUGUGAUGCUAGCAGCCAGCUGAGAAGUUAUACUUCAUCAUCGCCAUCAGUAAAUUCAGUGUUUAUGACACAGUCCUUAACAUUCCUUUAAAGAGCUUGGUGUACUUCAUGUCUGGCAGGCAUCGUUUGUAUGUACUAACUCAUUGGACCAUUUAAUAAUAGAAAUAUUCUUCUCUCUCACAUAAACGUUAC
rnacentral:lncRNA from 1 species